UACACACGUGCUACAAUGGGCAGAACAAAGGGCAGCGAAACCGCGAGGUUAAGCCAAUCCCACAAAUCUGUUCUCAGUUCGGAUCGCAGUCUGCAACUCGACUGCGUGAAGCUGGAAUCGCUAGUAAUCGCGGAUCAGCAUGCCGCGGUGAAUACGUUCCCGGGCCUUGUACACACCGCCCGUCACACCACGAGCGUUUGUAACACCCGAAGUCGGUGAGGUAACCUUUAUGGAGCCAGCCGCCGAAGGUGGGACAGAUGAUUGGGGUGAAGUCGUAACAAGGUAGCCGUAUCGGAAGGUGCGGCUGGAUCACCUCCUUU
rnacentral:rRNA from 1 species